rnacentral:sRNA from 1 species
ACUGCGUGAGGAUCGCGACGCCUCGUUCGACCCGGAGCAUGCCGUGCUGGUCGGGCCAGAGCAGCGC